CGGGAGCAGCUCAAAUACUAAGAUUAUACCUGAAAAAAAUCGUAAUUUAAAAUAAGUGGUUAACAUUUGCGUACCAAAGAAAAAUUAAGAUGUUAUUGCAAUCGUUGACUUAUUUGGAUAGCCUUCAUGAGAAACUAAAUUAAUUUACAUAUUAACGAGGGCCAAUUGAUAUUUUGCGAGAUUCCGACGCAAUCGUCCUCUUUCCUCCGGAAAAAACAAUCGUUAUGGCGUUAUAUUAGAGAACAACGCGAGGAACAUCAUUUUUCCUGUUUCUGUCUCAGCACUUAGGUUGCCUGGCCACCUGCAACUUACUUCUAGGUUUCAGUUAAACAAGAGGAAUCAUGAGGUACCCAGUGACUCGGGAGCUUGCUACUUGGGGAUGUGUAGUGGUCGUCUAACCCAUGU